rnacentral:rRNA from 1 species
AGAGUUUGAUCCUGGCUCAGGAUGAACGCUAGCGGCAGGCUUAACACAUGCAAGUCGCGGGGCAGCGCGGGUAGCAAUACCUGGCGGCGACCGGCGGAAGGGUGCGUAACGCGUGAGCAACAUGCCCGUAUCAGGGGGAUAACCGAUGGAAACGUCGCCUAAUACCCCAUAACAACAGUUCCCGCAUGAGGACAGUUUGAAAGUUACGGCGGAUACGGAUUGGCUCGCGUGACAUUAGCUGGUUGGCGGGGUAACGGCCCACCAAGGCGACGAUGUCUAGGGGUUCUGAGAGGAAGGUCCCCCACACUGGAACUGAGACACGGUCCAGACUCCUACGGGAGGCAGCAGUGAGGAAUAUUGGUCAAUGGGCGCAAGCCUGAACCAGCCAUGCCGCGUGCAGGAAUGAGGCCCUAUGGGUCGUAAACUGCUUUUGCUGUGGAGCAAUAAGUGGUACGUGUGCCACGAUGAGAGUACACAGCGAAUAAGCAUCGGCUAACUCCGUGCCAGCAGCCGCGGUAAUACGGAGGAUGCGAGCGUUAUCCGGAUUUAUUGGGUUUAAAGGGUGCGUAGGCUGUUCGUCAAGUCAGUGGUGAAAUGCCGGGGCUCAACCCCGGAGCUGCCAUUGAUACUGUCGGGCUUGAAUCCUGCUGCCGUGGGAGGAAUGAGUAGUGUAGCGGUGAAAUGCAUAGAUAUUACUCAGAACACCGAUUGCGAAGGCAUCUCACGAAACAGGCAUUGACGCUGAGGCACGAAAGCGUGGGGAUCAAACAGGAUUAGAUACCCUGGUAGUCCACGCAGUAAACGAUGAUGACUAACCGCUGGCGAUACAUUGUCAGUGGCCAAGCGAAAGCGAUAAGUCAUCCACCUGGGGAGUACGACCGCAAGGUUGAAACUCAAAGGAAUUGACGGGGGCCCGCACAAGCGGAGGAACAUGUGGUUUAAUUCGAUGAUACGCGAGGAACCUUACCCGGGCUCGAACGGUGCAGGAAGGAUCUAGAGAUAGUGACGCCCUUCGGGGUCUGCAUCGAGGUGCUGCAUGGUUGUCGUCAGCUCGUGUCGUGAGAUGUUGGCUCAAGUGCCAUAACGAGCGCAACCCUCUUCCUUAGUUGCUACCAUUAAGUUGAGAACUCUAAGGAUACUGCCAGUGUAAGCUGGAGGAAGGUGGGGAUGACGUCAAAUCAUCAUGCCCCUUACGUCCAGGGCUACAGGCGUGCUACAAUGGCCGAUACAACGAGCAGCCACGUGGUGACACGGAGCAAAUCUCUUAAAGUCGGUCCCAGUCCGGAUUAGAGUCUGCAACUCGACUCUAUGAAGUUGGAAUCGCUAGUAAUCCCGAAUCAGAAUGUCGGGGUGAAUACGUUCCCGGGUGUUGUACACACCGCCCGUCACGCCAUGGGAGUCUGUAACACUUGAAGCCGAUAGCCUAACCCGCAAGGGAGGGGGUCGUCCAAGGUGGGACAGGUGACUGGGGUGAAGUCGUAACAAGGUAACC